CCUACGGGACGCAGCAGUGAGGAAUAUUGGUCAAUGGGCUUACGCCUGAACCAGCCAAGUCGCGUGAGGGAAGACUGCCCUAUGGGUUGUAAACCUCUUUUGUCGGGGAGCAAGACCCGCCUCGUGCAGGCGGAGCGAGAGUACCCGAAGAAAAAGCAUCGGCUAACUCCGUGCCAGCAGCCGCGGUAAUACGUAGGAUCCGAGCGUUAUCCGGAUUUAUUGGGUUUAAAGGGAGCGUAGAUGGGUUGUUAAGUCAGUUGUGAAAGUUUGCGGCUCAACCGUAAAAUUGCAAUUGAUACUGGCGU
rnacentral:rRNA from 1 species